AUUCCAAUCGAACUCGGAGAUAGCUGGUUCUCCCCGAAAUAGCUUUAGGGCUAGCGUUAUGUUAGAUUACCGGAGGUAAAGCACUGAAUGGGCUAGGGGGCGAUAAGCUUACUGAACCCUAUCAAACUCUGAAUGCCGGCUAAUUGAUGAUCAGCAGUCAGACAGUGUGAGAUAAGUUUCAUUGUCAAAAGGGAAACAGCCCAGACCUACAGCUAAGGUCCCAAAUGUAUGCUAAGUGGAAAACGAUGUGGAGUUGCGAAAACAACCAGGAUGUUGGCUUAGAAGCAGCCACUCAUUAAAAGAGUGCGUAAUAGCUCACUGGUCGAGUGACUCUGCGCCGAAAAUUUAACGGGGCUAAAUCGUACACCGAAGCUUGGGAAUAUCAGUUAUUCUUCAUGGACUUGCAAGGAAAGAGACCAUGGCACGAAGUGCCAUCAAAUUGUCCAUAAGGAUAAAGCGAGCUUGUGAAGAAUAACUGAUAUUGGUAGGAGAGCGUUGAAUGCGGGGUGAAGUCAGAGCGAAAGCGCUGGUGGACUGCAUUGAAGUGAGAAUGCCGGAAUGAGUAGCGAGAUUUAUGUGAGAAUCAUAAAGGCCGAAAGACUAAGGUUUCAGAAGGAAGGUUCGUCCGCUUCUGGUUAGCCGGGAGCUAAGGUGAGGCCGAAAGGCGUAGCCGAUGCACAUACGGUGGAGAUUCCGUAGCCGUCGAAAUAUUUAAGCAAAGGGACACUUAUGAAGGACAUGACCCGGGCGAUGGUAGCCCCGGGCGUAAGGGACUGAAAACAAGUAAGGAAGCAUGUUUGGAUUAAGGCGAGAAAAGCUUUGUGUAUAUAUGAGACGUCCGUACCGCAAACCGACACAGGUAGUCAGGAAGAGGAUUCUAAGGCCAACGGGAGAAGGGUAGUUAAGGAACUCGGCAAAUUGACCCCGUAACUUCGGGAUAAGGGGCGGUGCGUAAGCACCCGCAGUGAAUAGGUCCAGGCGACUGUUUAUCAAAAACACAGCUCUCUGCUAAAUCGAAAGAUGACGUAUAGGGGGUGACACCUGCCCGGUGCUGGAAGGUUAAGAGGAGGAGUGCAAGCUCCGAAUUGAAGCCCCAGUAAACGGCGGCCGUAACUAUAACGGUCCUAAGGUAGCGAAAUUCCUUGUCGGGUAAGUUCCGACCCGCACGAAUGGUGUAACGAUCUGGACGCUGUCUCAACUGCCCACCCGGCGAAAUUGUAGUACCGGUGAAGAUGCCGGUUACCCGCGGCAAGACGGAAAGACCCCAUGGAGCUUUACUGUAACUUGAUAUUGGGUCUUGGUAUUCUAUGUACAGGAUAGGCGGGAGACUAUGAAACAUACACGCCAGUGUAUGCGGAGUCACCCUUGGGAUACCGCUCUUAGAGUACUGAGAUUCUAACCUGCGGCCGUGAAUCCGGUCGGGGGACAUUGUCAGGUGGGCAGUUUGACUGGGGCGGUCGCCUCCUAAAAGGUAACGGAGGCGCUCAAAGGUUAGCUCAGCACGGUCGGAAACCGUGCCUCUGAGUGCAAACGCAAAAGCUAGCCUAACUGCGAGGCUGACGGGCCGAGCAGUAACGAAAGUUGGAGUUAGUGAUCCGGCGGUAUGUGAAUGGAAAUGCCGUCGCUCAACGGAUAAAAGCUACCCUGGGGAUAACAGGCUGAUCUCCCCCAAGAGUCCACAUCGACGGGGAGGUU
rnacentral:rRNA from 1 species